UCGGCCAAGAAUUUUUAGGAUGCAGAAGCGCGGCAAUAAUCAUAUGCUUGCUUGGCCACGGGUCGAGACCCACAUACAGGGUUUAAUUUGGUAUGUGCACCAUAAAUGAGGACACAGAAAUAUGGAUGAAAAUUUAAAAGACAUCAUUAGAAGUUACCACAGAAGAGGUUUAUCUCACAAGGAAAUUCACUUUUUACUGAAAAUAAGACAUGGUCAAAACUAUAGUUUCCAAUAUCUGAAGAGAAAAGUAAUGCCAAGAUUAAAUUUAAAU